AUGACUUUGAUCUGCGUCCUCAUCUGGACUCUCCUCUGCUGCUGCUUCACAGAGUCCAGAGGACAGAUCACAGUGACUCAGCCUGGAGCAGUGAGCUCUGCUGUGGGAGGAUCUGUCACCAUCAGAUGUACUACCAGCCAUAGGGUAGAUGAAGGUGAUGAUCUGUCCUGGUACCAACAGAAAGAUGGACAAACUCCUAUAAUGCUCAUAUAUAAUGGUGUCACUCGAGUAUCAGGGAUUCCAGCUCGUUUUACAGGCAGUGGAUCAAACUCUGACUUCACUCUGACCAUCAGUGGAGUCCAGGCUGAAGAUGCAGCAGUUUAUUACUGUCUGGGUGAAUUCAAUGUUAACAGUCAGUGGGUGUUCACACAGUGAAAAACAGUCGUACAAAAACCUCCCUCAGUCAGACUGAACAGAAACUGAACUGACUGCUGCAGCUGGAAGAUACUGCGGAGACUGAUACAGUUCACUGAGGACACACACACACAUAUUUUUUUCAAUAUAAAGCGCCUUGAGGCGACUUUUGUUGUGAUUUGUCGCUAUAUAAAUAAAAUUGAAUUCAAUUGAAAUUUUAUAGAGCUGAAAUAUUUCUGCUUUAAAAAUAAAUUAGCAUCAAAAUAUCCAUCCAUCCCUUUACUAUCUGCAGUAUCAUAUUCAGGAAUUGAAGUAACAAGUCAUAAAAAAUGUGACAAGAAUGAGCACAUUUUCAUUCUUUCAUGCUUUCAUUCUUCAUUGAAAUUAAUAUGCUCAAAUAUUUAGUGUGAACUCUGCAAACACCAUUGCUUGUGAAAAAUAAUGUAGUGAUUUAAAAUUGUGGACUUUACUGUGUUUAAAUAGUUAUGAUUGAUAAGGAUGAACACAUUCACAGAAUUACGUUUACAACUGACAUUGUUGGAAAUGCAGGAAACAUUUUGAAUUUUAAAUGAUUUGGACUUCUCAUGUUUUUAGUAUCAUCAUGAAUAAUCAUCCUGAAGAAUACUUGGUCAUAGGGGGCUCUCUGA